UACGUAGGGAGCAAGCGUUGUCCGGAAUCAUUGGGCGUAAAGCGCGCGUAGGCGGCCCGAUAAGUCCGCUGUGAAAGUCCAGGGCUCAACCCUGGGAUGCCGGUGGAUACUGUCGGGCUCGAGUCCGGAAGAGGAGUGUGGAAUUCCUGGUGUAGCGGUGAAAUGCGCAGAUAUCAGGAGGAACACCAAUGGCGAAGGCAGCACUCUGGGACGUGACUGACGCUGAGACGCGAAAGCGUGGGAGCAAACAGG
rnacentral:rRNA from 1 species